AGGCAGCAGUUAGGAAUAUUGGACAAUGGGCGAAAGCCUGAUCCGGCCAUGCCGCGUGUGUGAAGAAGGUCUUCGGAUUGUAAAGCACUUUAAGUUGGGAGGAAGGGCAGUAAAUUAAUACUUUGCUGUUUUGACGUUACCGACAGAAUAAGCACCGGCUAACUCUGUGCCAGCAGCCGCGGUAAUACAGAGGGUGCAAGCGUUAAUCGGAAUUACUGGGCGUAAAGCGCGCGUAGGUGGUUUGUUAAGUUGGGUGUGAAAUCCCCGGGCUCAACCUGGGAACUGCAUUCAAAACUGACAAGCUAGAGUAUGGUAGAGGGUGGUGGAAUUUCCUGUGUAGCGGUGAAAUGCGUAGAUAUAGGAAGGAACACCAGUGGCGAAGGCGACCACCUGGACUGAUACUGACACUGAGGUGCGAAAGCGUGGGGAGCAAACAGGAUUAGAUACCCUAGUAGUCC
rnacentral:rRNA from 1 species